CCUACGGGAGGCAGCAGUGGGGAAUAUUGGGCAAUGGGCGCAAGCCUGACCCAGCAACGCCGCGUGAAGGAAGAAGGCUUUCGGGUUGUAAACUUCUUUUGACAGGGAAGAGCAGAAGACGGUACCUGUCGAAUAAGCCACGGCUAACUACGUGCAAGCAGCCGCGGUAAUACGUAGGGGGCAAGCUUUAUCCGGAUUUACUGGGUGAAAAGGGGGCGCAGACGGCGAUGAAAGCCAGGAGUGAAAGCCCGGGGCCCAACCCCGGGACUGCCCUUGGAACUGGGGGGCUUGAGUGGAGGAGAGGCAGGCGGAAUGCCUGGUGUAGCGGUGAAAUGCGUAGAUAUCAGGAGGAACACCGGUGGCGAAGGCAGCCUGCUGGACUGCAACUGACGUUGAGGCCCGAAAGCGUGGGGAGCAAACAGGAUUAGAUACCCGUGUAGUC
rnacentral:rRNA from 1 species